GACGAACGCUGGCGGCGUGCUUAACACAUGCAAGUCGAGCGGUAAGGCCCUUUCGGGGGUACACGAGCGGCGAACGGGUGAGUAACACGUGGGUGACCUGCCCUCAGCUCUGGGAUAAGCCUGGGAAACCGGGUCUAAUACCGGAUAUGACUCCAUGACGCAUGUUGUGGGGUGGAAAGCCUUGUGCGGCUGAGGAUGGGCCCGCGGCCUAUCAGCUUGUUGGUGGGGUGAUGGCCUACCAAGGCGACGACGGAUAGCCGGCCUGAGAGGGCGACCGGCCACACUGGGACUGAGACACGGCCCAGACUCCUACGGGAGGCAGCAGUGGGGAAUCUUGCGCAAUGGGCGAAAGCCUGACGCAGCGACGCCGCGUGAGGGAUGACGGCCUCGG
rnacentral:rRNA from 1 species